UGUCGCUCGCAGCGUAGUUGUGCUGUGGGAGGAAAGUCCGGGCAACACAGAGCAUCAUAUUUCCUAACGGGAAGCCAUCUGCGAGGGUGGAGUAAUGUGACAGAAAACAACCGCCACAAAUGUGGUAAGGGUGAAAAGGCGAGGUAAGAGCUCACCGGAUGACAUGGCAACAUGUUGUGCCGCACAUCUUAUGAGUUGCAAGGUCAAGUAUAUCGGCAUCUAAGGGCUGCUCGUCCAUUGUCGAGGGGUAGACUGCUACAUAUAAUCGGCGUGGCAACACGUCGGUCAGAUAAAUGACAAGACGGCAUUUGCUUCGGCAUCUUGCCGACAUAACCCGGCUUAUAGUGCUGCUG
rnacentral:RNase_P_RNA from 1 species